CAAUAAGCGGAGGAAAAGAAACUAACAAGGAUUCCCCUAGUAACUGCGAGUGAAGCGGGAAAAGCUCAAAUUUAAAAUCUGGCGGUCUAUGGCUGUCCGAGUUGUAAUCUAGAGAAGUGAUGCCCGCGCUGGACCGUGUACAAGUCUCCUGGAAUGGAGCGUCAUAGAGGGUGAGAAUCCCGUCUUUGACACGGACUACCAGGGCUUUGUGGUACGCUCUCAAAGAGUCGAGUUGUUUGGGAAUGCAGCUCUAAAUGGGUGGUAAAUUCCAUCUAAAGCUAAAUAUUGGCGAGAGACCGAUAGCGAACAAGUACCGUGAGGGAAAGAUGAAAAGAACUUUGGAAAGAGAGUUAAACAGUACGUGAAAUUGCUGAAAGGGAAACGCUUGAAGUCAGUCACGUUGGCUAGGAAUCAGCUUCGCUUUUGCGUGGUGUACUUUCUGGUUGACGGGUCAGUAUCAAUUUUGACCGCUGGAGAAAGGUCUUGGAAAUGUGGCAGCUCAGGCUGUGUUAUAGUCCAUGGCCACAUACAGCGGUUGGGAUUGAGGAACUCAGCACGCCGCAAGGCCGGGUUUCGACCACGUCCGUGCUUAGGAUACUGGCAUAAUGGCUUUAAGCGACCCGUCUUGAAACACGGACCAAGGAGUCUAACAUGCCUGCGAGUGUUUGGGUGGUAAACCCGAGCGCGUAAUGAAAGUGAAAGUUGAGAUCCCUGUCGUGGGGAGCAUCGACGCCCGGACCUGAACUUUUGUGACGGACCCGCGGUAGAGCAUGUAUGUUGGGACCCGAAAGAUGGUGAACUAUGCCUGAAUAGGGUGAAGCCAGAGGAAACUCUGGUGGAGGCUCGUAGCGAUUCUGACGUGCAAAUCGAUCGUCAAAUUUGGGUAUAGGGGCGAAAGACUAAUCGAACCAUC
rnacentral:rRNA from 1 species